ensembl:piRNA 21ur-2037 ncRNA
AUCGUGGCAUAACAUACUUUG